AGCAGUAGCCGCGGGAAUACGAAGGGUGCAAGCGUUAAUCGGAAUUACUGGGCGUAAAGCGUGCGUAGGCGGUUUGUUAAGUCUGUUGUGAAAUCCCCGGGCUCAACCUGGGAAUGGCAAUGGAUACUGGCAAGCUAGAGUGUGUCAGAGGAUGGUGGAAUUCCCGGUGUAGCGGUGAAAUGCGUAGAGAUCGGGAGGGACAUCAGUGGCGAAGGCGGCCAUCUGGGACAACACUGACGCUGAGGCACGAAAGCGUGGGGAGCAAACAGGAUUAGAGACCCCCGUAGUCCCUGUCUCUUAUAC
rnacentral:rRNA from 1 species